UCCUAGAGAGAUCACUGCAGAGCUUCCCCCUUGCCAAGGCUGCCGUUGCUCUUGGGACCAGCUGAAUACAACGGGCACCCCACCCCAGCGCUGGUGAUCAGACCCUUUGAACAUGGCAGUGCUGGCUCUGUCUUGCUCUGAAGGCUUUUGAGCCUUACCCGCCUGCUGCACAAACCGCUGUAGCUCCUAAUGUGAGUUCACUGUCAUCUCCAAGCCAAAGGGAGCCAACCUUGGAAGCUCCCUGCUCUGACCUUUUGCUGGCUGAAGUCCGAAUGCUAAGACUGACCUCAGGAUGAGGCAGCAGUCUGUAUGCUGAUCUCUGCUCCAGUGUCAAUGCACAGGCCUCUCCAGGAAUGAGAGUCUACAUUUACAACUUGGUGAGGUGGGACCUAGAACACAUGGCUUCUAAGGUCACCUCCAGUUUCAGGCAGGUGGUGUGACUUGGGAAGUCCCUGGGAGUUUUGACCAAUUUACUCCUGGGAGAGUGAAUUAG
rnacentral:lncRNA from 1 species